UAGGGAUAACCCAAUAGCGAUAGCCUUAAAAGGCGAAGCCUAUACGACAUAGAAUCUAGAGUUACAAUACGUAACUAUUGUUUUCCCCCAAAGCAGCUCAAGUGGGCGGUUCCUUCUGUCCCCGGAUUAGCCCUGGCGGCUGAGUGGUGCGGGGCCCAGCCAACCAGAGAGCGAUAGCGCCGUGGAGGCGUAUAAAAGCCUGAUGUGCCUUACAAGCAGCGGCAGACACCUGUAGGGAAUGAAGGCAUGUAGUCACAUUCUGUUGAGCGCAAGAGUUUGCCUUUGUGUGUUCCCAGAUUUGGGCCAGGGUAAGAGGAAUCUCUCCUAUACUGAUAUUGUUCACUUGCACUCCCAUUUAGGUUUUUCACUGUUUAGACACACUGGCCCUCAUUUAUCAAACGAGCGUACGACAGAAAACGUGCGUAAAAUGGACGUACGCUCAUUUCAACGUUGAGCUUGGCAUUUAUCAAUUUGAACGUGAGCGCAGGCUGCGAUGAAAUCUCACGUCAGGUCUGAGCUCGUGUACGCAAGUUUUUUUGGCGCAACACACGGGUAUUUCACUGAUGAAUAGUGCAUCACAAGUAGCCCAUGUUGCACAUCUGUAUUAAUUACUAAACAAAUUGGAAUUAGCCCAGCCGUUCAAACAAUUACAAUCAAGUCAGCCCUAAUUAAAAACAGUAUUGCUAUGAAAAUAAUUUGAAUGUGACAGGUGAAAUGUUUAUUCAGCUGUCUAUAUAAACAGGAGCUUUGCCAAAUAGGUGCUCGAGUCGCAGCGAUGGCAGAUCUGGCUCUGUUAGAGGACCUCAACGCACGUCUAAGACGAGAGAGAGUUUUUCGAAACCGCGCCGAUUUUUUUAUGGAGAGCGAUGAAUGGCUCUUGAGUCGUUUUCGUCUCCCAAGGCAUCUCCUGAUGGAGCUAUGCAAUGCUUUGGAGCCACACAGAGAAACUAGGCGACUAAACGCAAUACCUGUGCCAGUGCAGGUGUGCUCUACCUUGGGGUUUUUGGCCACCGGGACCUUUCAGCGGAAGAUCGGGGACAGGUCUGGUAUUUCCCAGCCAAGUAUUAGCCGAACCAUGCCAGCAGUUUUGGCAGCUAUACUGUCCCUCUCUGAACGUUAUAUUAAAUUCCAUACACUAACGAUCAGCAAACUGGAAUCAAACGGGAUUUUUAUGCUAUUGCUAUGUUUCCAAAUGUGAUUGGUGCGGUUGAUUGUACCCAUGUGCGUAUGAAGCCACCAUCUAUUAAUGAUUACGCGUACAUCAACCGCAAAAGCUACCAUUCAGUUAAUGUUCAGAUUAUUUGCGAUGCCAGAAUGUCAAUCCUGAACAUGGUAGCCCGAUGGCCUGGGGGCACGCACGAUUCUUUUAUUUUCCAAAAUAGCAACGUUGGGCAUCGUCUACAUCAGGGCGCACUACAUGGUCAGAGUCAUCUCGGUGAGUUACGCUGCAGUCGCACUGCACCGGCCUCCUCCCGUUUCUUGCUUGGCCGGCUUCACAGCCGCAACACGUUUUUUGGUGAUGAGCUUCAUGUCGGACCAUUUUUUCUUCACCUUAUUCGGAAUUAAAUAACUUUAACGGAAUGCAAACAAUAGCAUAUAUGUGAAAUGUUUUAAGCUGGAUAACAGAAGUUGUACAUUUAAUUUAUUAUUUAAUUUAUUAAAUUAACAAACCUCUUCCGUAGCCCGACGAACAUUGGAAACAAUAUUCACUGCAACAGUUAUUUCCUUCCAUAUAGUAUUCUUUUGCUGGCCUUUAAUGCCAGCUUUUAGGCUACCAAAUAAAACCAGACGGUUCACAUCCACCAGUGACCCGAGCGUCUCCAUUUGGGUCUCGGAAAAAUUCCUCUAUUUUACCGUUGGACGUUUCUCCAUGUCGUAAAAGUUGGGGGCGAGACUUCUGAAGACGUGCUUUUAUAUGGGCGUGUGUUACGAAACCGCUUUGGGUCACACCGGACCGAGUAACACAGACUGAAAGUCACGUUGAAACAGACGUUUUAUUUAGCAGACGCUGCCUUACACAUGGCGGGACGGUUAUUAACUCAACGAAAGGAAAGAUAACAAAUCAGAAAGGAAACCCUAACUAACCCUAACUCUGGGGGACCCAACUUGUCCUACACCGAAAGUAAAAGGGAAUGUGAAUUAGCCGGGACCUAUGUCUACUCUGCUCAAACCUAACUUAAAACGUGAAAACAACCAUCUCCUCACCAACAACGUAUAAAGUGAAAUGAAAGCAAUAAUGUUCCCACAUGGGAAAAGACGGCACUGGACCGUAAAUUACUUGGCACAAAAGAUAACAAUUCACACUGAACGAUCGGUGGCGUGCGGGACCAGGAACAAAUCCCCCGCCCUUGCAGUCUGGGCUGGGCGGUCUUUAUAGGCGACGUCAGGCGACGGCGGGAACAACCAGCCUAUAGGAAUAAAGGAACUGCAGAACAGCGCAGCUGCGCAAAAUCUCAUAUUUGCCGUAUAGGAACGUAACAGCGUGUUACGUUCAUUACGAUCGAUCUCAGCCGCCGUAUUUAUCAACACCAAGAUCCUUCGUACGCUGGGAAUGGUGUGAUACGAAGGUUUCGUAAAUCUCACGUGGGUCCUAUCGUAAGAUGAAUCAUGCGUUCAGAUUUGCGCUCAUUUCUACGUUUGUUUGAUAAAUGAGGGCCACUAGGUUUAGGGGGUGCUGAUCAUUUGUAUUUCUGUUUCGUUAUGCUAGAGUAGCCAGUUAGGUUUUGUUUUAGGACUAUUCGUGUUUAGUUAUUAGAUAGGUAGCUCCAUUCUAUUUUAAGGAGCUCUCUUUUGGUUAUAUUUGUUUAUUUGCUUUGACAGCAACUAACGGCCCUUUUCUGACAGUUGUUCCUUUCUAUUCCUUUGUCGGAAUAUAAUAAAGCACAAUAAUUACAAUCGCAAUCCAUCGGGUUGUGUGUGUUACUUCCAUUUCCCCCCUUAACGAGUAGGGGUCGUAACAGAUGAAUUUACUUAUCUAAUAUUUCAUAAGAGAGAAAGCUUUUGUCACAAAUAUUACUUUCUAUGAACAAUGCAAUAAUCAAUGCAGCUUGCAUUAUAACACUAUGGAAGCAUUAAAAAAAUAGGUUUCAGUUUUAUUUCCUGUCUAAUCUUUCUUUUCUAUGUCAUUAAAGGAAAAGCUGCUCAUGAAUUAGAAGGAGUUCUUCUGUCUGGCUGUGAGUUUGAGUGCAUGCUAUGCGUAGGCUGAAUCGUGUCAAGACAAUCGUGUCAAGACAAAUCAGAUUGGCCAAUACACACUGAAGAUAAAUUCAAUAAUUUUAAAAUUACAAAAAUUAUCCCUCUCUGGCGAACAGAAUGUUGCAGCAGGCAAAAAAAUGUAUCUUUUUUUUUAAAUUCUGAUUAUUAAUUUAUCUGCAUCGAGACAAUCAUUUUAGUGAGAAUCGCGAUGCAUCGAAGAAUCGAUUAUUUUUCCCACCCCUAUUAAACACUCACGAAGGACCAAUGUAGACUUCACUCGUUACAACAUCCUAAGCAAACAGUUUAGGAUAAUCACACAGGUUAUGAGUGAACAUAUUUAUGUCAGAAUAGGCCUACCAGGCUUGAAGUCUAACGUCACAUAUCUCAAUCAGACAAAACAACUAUAACCACAUUGGCAUAGCAAUCGCACCGUGUGUAGCUGCUAGUAGCUGCAAUCUAUAUAUACCUUGUAUAUGUACAAUGCAUACUAGCUGGAGCACCAACCAGAAUCAGAUCACAAUCGCUUAGGACCGUGGGUAACCUUUGGCCAGAUCAUCACGAGCAAACAAAACCAGCAGCAAACUUUACGUAAACUAAUUUCUUACCUUAUGUGGCCCUCCACUUGCAGGCUAGAUAAUGUAUCCAUAUCGUUAUCCAGUGUCACAAACAUGCUUUUUACAGGAAGCAAAAGGAUCGGCUAUUUUCUGAAUAAAAAUGUCAAUUUUGGCUGUCUGUCUUGAAACUUCUCCAUUAUAACGCUGUGUACAGACAGCACAUGUUCACCCUCCUCCCCCUUGCGAUGACAUUAAAUAUAAUUUAACAAAUUAUACAAACAACAAAAAAGGCUUAAGUCGUAAGGCUAUUUAACUGGAUCCAUAAUGUUUAAGAGAAAAGCUGGAACCGAUAUAAGAUCCUUAAUCAGCUGGCAAAAAUCACCUUGUUUUACGUUGUUUGAUAUUAACUCAGUUAACUGCUAGUUCUCAUCUAUUGCUUACGUAAACGGUCAGCUAGCAGUAACAAUGCAGUUAGCUACAUACAGGCUUUAGCUACAGUCUAUGCUUUGGCUACUACAAAUUUCUGUCUUCCACUUUUAUUGGUUGAGUGGAAUACAUUUUGUACAGUAGCGAUGGUUUCUAGUGUUCCAUAUACAUCUCAAGUUAAUUCCAUGAUAUUCUGUUAGCCUUCGCUAGUACUAGAAGUCAUAAAAGCUAGGCUAGGAAAGCUAGCCUUCGAAGUUCACGUUUUCUCAGGUCACAAUGUUCGAUCUGAAUGCGCCACCAUGGGAAUGCACCGAUUCCGCUGUCAUUUUACCACGCCAUGUUUCUACAGUGGCUGACAGUCGACAAAUCAAACAACUAGAUACCAAAAUGUGUUUUUCACAUGUUUGUUAUCUGCGGAUUUACCAAUAGAUGUCCCUAUAUGAUUAUCAAUACUGUACAUAAAAAAAACAGAAUUUUCCCCAAAUCUAUGCAAAAACGUUAAAUAAAAACCAAAAACAAGUUUUAUUUUUGAACCAUCUGUCAUCAGAAAAAGGAACCAAGUGCAACAGAACAAAACAAAGAAGUACAGGGACCGGGAGCUGUUGAGGUGAGGGUCACAUAAGGAAAACUUGAACAUUCAGAAACAAUAACAUGAAACAUUACUAACAAAGUUUAGCAUUUUCAUAAGGAAUAGGAACUGAGUGGAACAGAACUUAUCAAAGAAGCACAGGAACAGGGGGUUGAGAAUGUAGAGGUGCAGCAGGUGUGGUUUCUAAAAAAAAGAUGCUAUUGCACAAAACAUAUACUAGACAAUUAUAGUGAAGUGGGCAGGGCUACAACUACAAAUAAAAAAAUAGUAAGUUGUAGAUGAAAGAAAAAGGCAACACGAUGGCAAUAAUGAACAAUUAAAACAAACAAAAAAAAACAUUUCAGAGAACUAUUUACAGAAAUACUACCAAAUUAUCAUCCAUGUCACUGACUACAUUACAGGAGGAGGUGCCUAACAAGGAGGGACAUAAGGAUAACCCUUCCCAAACAGCGGAAGAGCUCAAUACCCCUGAGCAGGGCUCUACGCUAACUUUUUUUUUCAGGAGCACUCGUGCCCCUAAGUUAAAAAAUGUAGGAGCACAGAAAAAAAAACGGGGGCACAAUAGGUUUUUGUUAAGAACAUUUAUUAGCGUGAAGAAAUUGCACAAACCAACCGCACCAACUUACUAAAACUAAAUUAAUACAAAUAGACAAGAUUACAUUUAGGCUACACAAAACAGCACCAAUUUACUAAAAAGAUAAAUAGACAAGAUCACAUUUAGGCUACACAAAAAUCAUGACGGGCUCGGAAUCACUUGGCCAUGACUUGUAGUUGGGUCGACGUGACCUUUUUCCAGCUGACAGCCAGUGUUCGGCACAUUUAGUGGGAUCAAAUAAUUCAAGCGAGGGGCCCUCUGUAGUGAUCCUGAUAAGAUCCUCUGUGGUGGAGACAUGCAAGCAGCUCCUCAAAGAGCUUUUGAGGCGUUUCUACGCAGAGAAGCCCCGCUCACACUGUGCAGAAGAAAUUGGGAGGACCAACAGUAUGUCCACAGGGUGUAGGAUGUUCUGUAAGAGUAAUUUAAAAGGGACUCAUACUAACUGAUCAAAAGAAAUAACUACAUACCAGAAAUACCUCAUUACAAUUAAAGUACAACCUUCCAUUUAAGUGCUGAAUUGUAUGUAACCUUGUAGUCAGUUCUGUAUGGCUCUUUGGUUGAAACUGUUUGCCAUAAGCUGCUGUAGGACUUGUCCUUAAACGUGUGGCUGACAAGGGUCUUCAAACUCUGCCAUUCCCCUGACAAAGCAUCCAUCUGGCAUCCAGAGCUAGAGAGAGAAAAACAUAGGCUUGUCCCUCAUCUGUUUCAUAAUCUGGUAACACAUCAAAUCUAUGAUAUUAGACAGCAACGUGCCUUGUAAGGACAUGACGAAAAUGCUCCAUUAGGGCCUCCAACUGAUCGUUGCCAUAAUCAACCAGUUCAUGGGUAUUCUCAGGCCAGGAGUCAUGAGGAAAGAUUUUCAUGCAAUUCACUGCAGAGUAGUCUUCGGAGUCUUCAUUAAUGAGACUGCCGAAUCUGGUGUUAAUGGAUUCCACAGUGGUGGUGAUAACAGAGGUGAUGUUUCUCUGUAGCCUGUGCUGCAUUCCUGUGACAUCUCCCGAGAGUGGUACACCCGUUAAGAAAAAAUUAUGGAAAAUGAACAGAACAUACCUAGUUAUAGCAUCCAGUAGCUUGUGCACACAACAUGUACAGAAUAUUUCACACAGACAUGUAAAAGACAUGUGAGGUGAUUAAAAUUGAUUGAAAUUAGAUCUCUUCCUGCCCUUGUAGACAUUCCAUGAACUGACAUAGCAUGCCUCCUCUUUGCGGUGUUUCCUGCAUAGCAUGCAACACCAUCACUGUCUUUCUCAGCGCUGAGAUGGCUUGAAGAAAAAUGAGGUUGUUCUUCUGCAGAACGCAACUGAGCAAGGCCAGUUCAUUAAACACGUCAGCCAGGAAAUGGCUAAAUGCGCAGAAGUUAAUCUCGUGCAUUCCCUUCCUAAUCUGAACAGGGGCAGUUAGAAAAAAUACCUUGUUUAGAUUUUAAGUGAUAUAUCCCAAAAUAAAUCAAGUCACUUUGAUAAGCAAUGUGUACUAUGGUUUUGUAAAACUUACCUUCUUUGCACGCCCUUGAAUUUCAGCACUGGCUGCUGAGGAGGCAAGGUGGUCCAUGUGGCGCAAAACAGCCGAAUACUGACCACUGUCAGUUGACAGACUCCCUUCUUUUCCUGCACGAAGGAACACACUCAGUGCCCGGUGUACAUGGGGAAUCCACCUCGUCCCUUUUACGCUUGAAGGAGAGCAUACCCUCACACCUAGCUCUUCUCCAAUCAGGUUCAGCUCACGCCUGGAUUUAGGGCUCUGGUGGUACGUCUUCCACACAAGAUGGAGAAGGUCAUAGACUUUGGCCACCAUUGUCUCAUUGAGCUGCAGGUUGAGACUGGCCAACUCCAACCUAGACAUUGACAACAAACACAGACAAAUCUUAUAGCAGUAACCUUUUACUAAUGGGCAAAUGCAUACAAUCAACCAUGACAUUCUGUAAUAUAGUUAGGGCACACUGUUUGUACAUUCACCUGUGAAGCAUGCAAUGAAUGGGAAUUACAUGCUGUCCGGCUGCCUGUUUGAGUAGAGCACUCACUCCCCUAUGCACACCCAUGUUGACUGAAGCGCCAUCUGCACCAAAUGCGACACACUUGGCCUUCCAGUCGCAUAUACCACGUCCAAAGCAUUAAAUACUGCAUUGGUUCCAGCCAGGAAACCUUAAGAAAAAAAGAGAAAUUCCUUAAAGUAGCCUUUUUUUUGUCCACAUAUUCAUAUUCUGUGUAAGUCAUUUUGCAUUAAUUUCAUUAAUAAUGUUAGCCUAUAGGACUAACUAUUGUUGUAGACAUGACAUUCACAUUUCAGUCCCCUUUUAUUAUUUUUUCCCCUUUACCAUUGGACUUUAUAAUACACCACCAUUAAAUACCUAAACUUAAUAUAAAUAUACACAUUUACAUUAUAAACACACACACGCGCGCACACACACACCACCAUCAAUCAUCAUUGCAUUUCAGAAUAACUAGGAGAGCUAGGCCUAUACGAUUGGUGAAGAAGAUAAAUUGUGGGUCUGGGUGAUAAAUAUAAAAACAUAGAAUGUCUUUGCCACUCACUUUGCGCAUGAGCGUGUAAGAGAGCCUGUUGGCCGACGAGGCGGGUCACCGGUCUGCCAUCCUCCACGAAGCGCACAUACACAAUCUCACACUCCGUGUUUGAUAUGUCCGUAUCGCCAUCUAUCAGGACUGCGAGGUAACGGGCCGCUUGUAGCUGGGCAGCGAGAGUGUCUUUGAUGCCUUCCGCUAUUUGACCGACCAUCUCAGCACAUCUCACAUCAUUGUCAUAUGUGGGAUUGAUGUUUAAUCCAUUUUUAUGGUGAAGGGCAAUCAUCGGUCCAAAUUUAGUGAACGCUAUCUCUUCCUUUGCGAUCACAUACGCUAUGUUAAAUUUAACCUUCAGCUGCCGAAGCGCGUCCUGAUUAGAGAUAGCCACUUGUCUGCCAACGGCGACUUCAACAGUACCAGGGUUAUUGGGCUGGGUGCGAUUUAUAUAUAAAUCGCGACAUCGAGAAUGUCGAACUGUGUUUCACCACAGCAUCGCGUUUUAGAUUAGGGUUCCCCGUUAUAAACAGAGAAGAGCCUGCCAUUGCCGAUGGGGCUUCCUUACAAAAUUUACAGAAAAUUGUCAUGUUCUUGGGAUCAUAAAGUAGCCACCCGAAAUCGUUCAACCAGUCGGGGUUGAAUUUGUAGACUUUAUCGACUACAGUAAAUUUCUCCACUCUAACCUUCUUCCUGGCGAUUUCUUCCUCUUCCUCUCUUUGUUUGUGUUUUCCCAUCAUUCUUUUUGAAAAACGCAGUUAUGCCUUGCAUAUUUGUUGUAGCUUAGUAGUUAGCGGUGUUGAGAUGUGCAAUAUCACAUACAGCGAGAGGCGCUCGAGCAGCGAUCCAACCAAAAUAGAUCCCAGCUGAGCGGACUGUUGCCAAGCAACAUAUAAACAAAACACCAUACACGAAGAAUGCGGAGUGAUUUACAGUUUGGUGAAAAGUCUGAGUGACGUUGUACGCUCAUAUCAGCGCUCCUGCAGAGCACAUGGAAUGAAAGGAUGAUUGGAUGACGGAUCGUCGCUGCCGAAAAAGUUGAACAUUUUUCAACUUCUUGACUGAGCCAAAGGCUCAGGCAAAAGACAUGCAUGUUAGCCUAUAUAGCAGGGCACUGAGAAUUGCUGUAAUGCUCAGCUACUACCCUGGGUAAAUAAAGUUUAAGAUUAAUGUGAUCCAACCUAAUAACAGCCGGCUUGGGGCAGAGGCAACACAAGGGAUGACCAACAGCCUCCUUUUCAAUGAGGCCUUGUAGGUGGUUUGGUCGUGCUUCUGUCCAGCGCUCUGAGGCUUUCUGCUGCCGAAAAGUCCAUGAAGAUGCAGAGCUUCUUUGAGGCUUGGCAGAAGGACCAGAGGCAUUUAGAGAUGAAAGCCUCUCCACAAUAGAUCACUAAUCUAUUGAAACAUGAUCAGGAUCACGUAUUUUCAAAAUGUUCGUGUUUUAAAGCACAAAUUUCAAACCCAUGUAUUUCAAUUGGAAGUAUUUGUCGUGUCACCAGCACGACUUCCAAACUAAGGUUCUGUGCGGGAGCGUUCUCCCUAAUGUCCCUUAAGGAGCUCCGUACAGAACAUUUAUUGUUAAAAAUUGUCUGUGAUGAUAACUAACAAUAUGACAGCUUUUGGCCACCCAUUUCUACUUAAACUUGUCUGUGAACAAUAUGACAGCUUUAGGCCACCCGUUUCUACUUUCACCUUUGAUUCUGAGAAAUUGUGACAAUUCACGGAUAUAUUAAAUGCAGGUGCGCUGUAUGUCUUGAUGUUUAUUUUAUCUAGCCAUCUACUGUCUUGUUUUUGGUUAUGUGAAUGAAAGUCCGCGUCGACGCCUCGCAAGUCCAGUGUCGGGAGCGGACGUUGCCAUGACAUCUAGAAAUCAUAUCGUAUUUAAUGGGUUGUCACUAAUAUUGAUGUGUUGGGCUUGAUUAUAACACUUGAAUAAUAUUGUUUGCACCACGGCCUGGGGGAAUACUCGUAUUCUGAUACCUGCUGAGUAGUUCCAGUCAGCGUUUAGAUUCUCUGCCCGAACCCGAGCCCGACCAGACCCGACCCGCGGGCCGGGUCUGGCCGAUAUUUCCCACCACUAUCCUCGGGCCGGGCCUUUGAUCGAGCUUUUUUAUUUUUAUUUUAUCAUUGGUUUAUUGGCCUAAUCUGAGGAGUAAUCUAUGCCAUAAACAGGAACGGUAUAGGCCUUUAUUACACGGGUCUUCUCAAUGCCGUGGCCCGUGGAACGCUCCGUUCACUUGCAUGGGUAGUAGUCCGGUGACUUGUCAACCCCAGCGUCUUCCGUUGCUAAGCGACGUCACCAUCUUUGCGGACAAAUUAUUUCUCUGUUGAUCAACACUACGAAUGCUGGAAACUAAUAAAUUGUAAAAAAAAAAAAAAGACACAGCAUGUGAAGUUAUUUUUUCGUUUUGGCAAGUUCCAGUCAAAUUGUCUUUUCAGCCUUCCAAACGAGAGCUGGUAAAUAGUGAAAAAUGCAUUAAACUGUAAUCAGAAAACGUGGAUAUAUGCUAUUGACCCUAGUGUGGUAUUAAGGAUGGGACGAAUUUCGAAUUAUAAAUAUGUUGAGCGGACUAGAAUGACUCCCGUAGGCCUAUAUAUUAUUAUUAUUAUGCACGUCUUGAGCCAUCAGUCGGAACGUGUCUGUGCCGCUUCCAGUGUGGAUUUCAGUAAUUACAACAUUUCUGUGCAUAAGCAGACAACAUCCCAAAGAUUUUUUCAUUCUAUGUAUCUUCCAGUCUGUACAUAUCAAAGGCGACACCCUGCAGCGCAGCUUCUUGGAGUUUUCAUAUGCUUCGUUUGAGAAGGACCAACUCUGCUGUGGUGCUGUUUUCACCUGCACACCAGAGAUGUUGGCUGUUUCAGUAGAUGGAAACAGAAAGUUAUAUCGCUUUCGCCGAAAUGGAAGGUGCUCUUUGUUCCAGUGUUAUUAUUGAUUGAUUGAUUGAUUUAGUUACAUAUUUAAUACAUUUAAUUUCUAUUCGUCUUCCACAGUUCUGGUGACCAUGCCUUUUUUGAAGGUUUAUUUGUGGCUGAAGACAGUGCAGUGUCUGGAUUUGUGGACAUGAUCCAGAAAGCUGUGAAAAAGGCAAGUUUGAAUCGUAAUUUGACAAAAUACUUCUGUUGCUAAAAUAAACAUAUCUAUCCAACAUAGAUUUCCUCCCCAACUGCAACUUCUGCCUGCCAACUAAAAAAUCAAAUUUAGUGAAUACAUGGCAUAUACAGUGUUUUAUGAUACCAUUGAGUUUAUUUGAUUUAUUUUUGUUUACGUGUCAUAGACACAGGGAAGAGGCACGUGUGGGGACUCCCAAUGGACAGCAGCACGGGAGACAUCAAGAAGGGCAUCCAAAUUGGAUGAAGAGGGCAUGGAGGUUGCUGUGUGUCGCCAUGGUUUCCUUCUUAAAGCCCUUAAUAUGUACAGGGGAGAAAUAUUUGCCUACCCCAUGUACCUUCAAAAGGAGCUGAUGCCAGCCAAGGCACAAUUCUUUGCCAUGGAUGUGGCUUGCAAAUACUGGCCAUACCUGGAGAAAGUUGCCAGUGUCCUUCCUGCUCUCCAGGAGCUGACCACCAUGAAACCUUUCCUCAGCGUCAUGCAUGCUCGAGCUCAUGCUACCAAGUGUGAGGUAUGUUUAUUAUUUUUUAUUAUGGUAUGUAAAUUGUAAUGUUUAUAAUAUUAAAUUUAAGUUAAUGGGUAGACUAUAUUAUGUAUAUGUUUUGUGUUACCAUUCCACUCAACCUUUACUAACAGAUUAAAUGGAGUGGUAGGAACCAGGAAGGAGCAGGGACAACCGCCGGUGAAGAGGUGGAACAAGUUAACAGCUACCUCUCUCGUUGUGCCCUUACGACAAAAUAUAUGUCGAAAGCAGGUGAACAGAGUGUUUUCCAUAUUGUUGCAUACUUCUUUUCAAAGACUGCAUGCCAUCAACUCAUACUUUGCCUUCAAUAGCCCGGUUGGACAUGCUCACAUUGCAUUCAAUGUUGUGGAACCAGAAGAAAGGGGAUUCCUUACACCAGGCACUUUCCACAAGAUAUGUGAAGACUUGUCAGAGGCUCCUGGAUGAGACUGCAAUGCUAGCAGAGCUAAAAACCCAGCUACAUCUCUCAGAUGAAAUGGUGUCACAGUGGAUUUCAGAUGUGAUGGAAUGGGCAGCUGGUGGUAAGCAUGACCAGAUAACAGAAAAUAACACAAUACUUUUCCACUACUAUUUGAAUCUUCAGGUUUGAUAUUAAAGAUCAGCCAACAAUAGUUGGCUGAUCAUUCAGGGCAGUUAAAGUGAUCUCUAGGGAUUACAAGAGGUGGUGACAUCACCUGCCACCAAGACCAGCAAACUGUGUGACAUGUUGGGUUUUUUGUAUAUUCCAGUUUCUCUUUUGGAAGUAUACAUACCAAGUUGUACAAUCAAGUUGGGUUAAAAGGGGUUUAUGUGUAACAUGAAUUCAAACAUCGAAACUGUUAUGUGUUGUUUUAUUUUGAAUUUUACUAUUAUUUCUACAGAGACACGAGAUACAUCUGACAACCUGCAAGGCACCACACACACAGGGCUUCAGCGGUCCAUUGAGGUGCUCUACCUCAGUGUGAGGCAGCGGAAGCUAAAUCUGUACCGUCAGAAUGGUAUUACUACUGUAUAAAAUACACACAAACAAAUACAUGGAAUUAGUACACAAUGUAGAAGCAAUUACGCCAAUUACAGCUCAAUCAUUACAUUCUCUUCUGUUUGAUUGUAACUGAUUAUUAUCUAGAUUGUCAUUAUUACAUUCAUCAGUCACUCACUGCAGCUUCACUUUCACUUUUUGAGUGCAAUGUAUUUUUUGCUUGACAAACAGUUCUGUCAAGAGCCUUCACCCAUCUACUUCAUGUAAUUCUAGACAGCAACAAGCUUCGCCACCGGCUUCGGAGGAAGCUGGCAGAAGAGAAAAAGCUCCUUCUUCAGGAGAUACAAAAGCACAACAAGCUUGACUCUGCAGCAAACAUCGAUGCAGCUGUGGUGGAGCACUCCCUGAGUGGAGAGAGCACUGUGUCCCCAAUAUGGCCUUGGGAGGUUCAUGACAGCGCAAACAUUGGAACCAAGAAACGGCUUCAUGACCAAGUGAUGACAACAAAGCGACUGCAGGAGGAAAAAAACAUUCUGGUGAUGGAGAUGGCACAACACUGCACAUGGUUGCAGAACCUGGCAUUGGUUCUCAAAAACAAGGUGGCUGAGGAGGGUAAGUUGACGCAAAACAUAGCUGUCCAUGACCAACUCACUUUCAAUCACAAACCUAAUGGAGUACAACAAUCAUUGUUUGCAGUGAUGGUCAUUUAAUUUGUACAUAGUAAAAUGGUGAUUUACGUUGUUUGCUAUGGUAACAAGUCAGUAGGGCUGUAAAGUGUGUCACUUUUGCCAGAUGUGGAGAUAUUUAGCACUGUGGCUGUAGCCUGAAAUCAGAAGUCAACCAAAUAAUUGUUAACAUUGGAAUAUGUGGCUAAUGUGUCACACGGGGUUAGCAUAAAAGUAAGCUUGUGCUUACUAUUAUCUCAAUCUGAAGCCUGCUUGGUAUCAUGGCAACUAUUCACAUAUGGUAUGUAGAUUUGGACAGGAGAGAGCUUUCUACUCUAUUGAAGUUACAGUAUGUGGACUCAUGAAGCAAUUUUACUAUGUAGAAGGUCUGUAAUGUAAUCUCAUGUAUAUUUUGAGGUGGAGAGUCUGGAGAUAAAGGAGAUGAAGAACUUUGCAGUCUCUUGAGGAGAAGAAACACAGAGGCGUCAGAGGGGUUGCAAGUGGUCCUGCAAAAAUACAAGACUGCUUUAGGUCCUGAGGCCUCUGUCAUUCUAAAUAUUGAAGAGGAAGACCAAAGUGUCCACAGCAGUCCAGACACCAGUGAGGAUGAAGAGGAAAGCAUAACUUAGGUGAAGUGUGUGCGUGCACGUUCACAUAACUACACAGAUUAGUGUUACUCUUUAAGGAUUAUUUAUGUAUUUAUUUAUGCUUUUUCAUUCUAAAACAGCUCAACUUUAGCUUUUGAUCUUACCUCUUGUUUUUUCCCCCAGAUUGAAGCUGCACUGAGGAUGGACUAAGGAAAUGGACUUGCCUAGAAAGCACUAAUGUGAUAAAACAUGCAUUCGGUCGUAUUAUAUUAUUUCACACGCAUAGAUAUUAACUUGGCACUAUGGGGGAGGGAACCAAGGAAGGCAGGCUUUCCUAUGAUUGGCCGCUCUGAAGCGCGAUAUUUGAUUGACAGCCCUCCUCAGCCCGAAUUCAGCCAAGGGUUUCUUACUUGAAGGGACCUUCGCCCCGACGGGAUUGUCUUCUGAGUUUCAGCCAUUGACUACAAUACAGAAUGAAUGAGAGGAGGGCUGAGGAAGGCUGUCAAUCAAAUAUCGUGCUUCAGAAACAGCCAAUCACAGGAAAGCACGCCCUGCCUUGAUUCCCUCCCACAUAGUGCCAAAAUUAAAUUUGAGCGAGAGAGCAUAACAUCAUUCGCGAGAGGCUGUUAGGCGCGAGAGGCUGUUUAUGUACGACCAAAGUUAUUCCCCCCUCUCGCUUGCAACGAGGUAAUGCUCUCGAGGAUCUGUUUUCCUGGCUCGGGGAGCUGCGCUCUGAGUGGGCGCGUGCGCACAGAUAAUUUGCGCGCUCGCAGUUAACAUCUACGUGUAUGAAAUAAUAUAAUACGCCCGAAUGCAUGUUUUAUCACAUUCGUGCUUUAUGGCACUAAUGUGUCGCCAUACUCAACCGCUUAUCCGGGCAACUUCACACCUGACACUGCACUCUUGGGUCUUCUGCAAUACACCCACCAAGUGUAAAUUAAAUCAGAUGAACACUACUAACUGCUUCCUGUCAACUGACAGCAGUCAGCUGACCGUCAUUACAUCGCUGUAGCACGUGAACAUUCAUUGGUGCCACGCUUGACAGCUCUCCACACAGUUACAUAGCAUUGUGGUGAAUGUUCAGACCACUGUUUCAUCUCUCCCCUUCCAGCGUCACAGAUUAUCAAUCUUGGUGAUGGAGGCACUAGCAUUUUGGUGUGUUAUUUAGUUAAUGUGUGUAAAAGAUGACUUCCUCAAAUGUCUUGUUUUGUUCGGAAUUCAAAGAUAUUCAGUUGACAGAAUAUAUAGAAGUAUAAAGAAACCAGAAAAUAUUACAUUUGAGAAUCUGGAAUCUGAUCAUUUAAAAAAAAAAUAUUUUCAAAAAAUGAAAGUGAUUAAUCGUUCAUCCAAACAGUUGGUUAUUAAUUAAAAUCAAAUUGUUGCAUGUCAUGUAAAAUGUAAAUCAAGGAGAAAGACCAUUUUGAUUGAUAGGGUGGCGUGAAUAAGUAUGUAUACAUAUAAUAUGUAUGUAAUAUGCAUUAGACUGUGUAACAAAGAGACAGUUGUAUAGUUAAUAUAGGUACGUACAGUAUAACUGGAUUACAUGUUCUGUUGUCAUUGCUUAUGUAAAGCUAACGCUACAGUCCAUUUUUAAGAAAUACAGCUCAAAUUGUUUGUUUGUUGGACAGAUCCAUUUGGUGCAUUUUUCCAGUAUUGUUGCAAAAGAUGAAUAAAUUAUUGCCAAAAAUGACAAUUUUCAUGUUUAGAAACAUCAUGUGACAGUUUUGUGUUUUCUAAAAAUAGAUAGCCUAUCAAGAGAAAAUAUGGGAAACAAACAUAAAUAAUGCAUAAUUAAUUAAAUUUUGAAUUUAGUUAAAUUUAACAUCACAUACAUUAUUAUUUAUGUGGAUUACAUCAAUGAACUGAUCUCCUUGUGAUAUAUUUCACCCAAAUCAUCUAUAUGCAGUAUAAUGUAGCCUAUGUUUUACUUGUACAUUUUUGAUUUAGUAAAGAUUAAUUUCCCUAAACUUAAUUACAACCCUCCUCUUGGUGUAAGAACUACAAGUAUGCUUCCUAACAUUUCAAAGGAACGAUUGUAAUGGGCAUUGUAUUUUUAAAUACAUUGUAUUCCCCAUGAUUAGAAGUUUGCAGUAUUAAACUGGAUGAUAACAUUGUAAUUAAUAACAUUACAAUGUUACAUAUAAAUGUAGUAUUGUUCAGUACUAUAUUGGGUAUGUAUUAUGUUCUAUGAUACUUAAAUACUAAACC